rnacentral:miRNA from 1 species
UAGGUAGUAUCAUGUUGUUGGG